rnacentral:rRNA from 2 species
ACGGCGAGUGAAGCGGCAACAGCUCAAAUUUGAAAUCUGGCCCCCUCGGGGCCCGAGUUGUAAUUUGCAGAGGGAGCUUUUGGCGUCGGUCGUGGUCUAAGUUCCUUGGAACAGGACGUCACAGAGGGUGAGAAUCCCGUACGUGGCCGCCGGCCUUCGCCUUGUAAAGCCCCUUCGACGAGUCGAGUUGUUUGGGAAUGCAGCUCUAAAUGGGAGGUAAAUUCCUUCUAAAGCUAAAUACCCGCCAGAGACCGAUAGCGCACAAGUAGAGUGAUCGAAAGAUGAAAAGCACUUUGGAAAGAGAGUGAAAAAGCACGUGAAAUUGUUGAAAGGGAAGCGCUUGCGGCUAGACGUGCCCGCGGUUGAUCAUCCAGGCUCCGGCCUGGUGCACUCCUCCGCGGGCAGGCCAGCAUCAGUUCGGGCGGUCGGAUAAAGGCCUCUGUCACGUACCACCCCUCGGGGUGGCCUUAUAGGGGAGGCGCAACACGGCCAGCCCGGACUGAGGUUCCGCGCAUCUGCUAGGAUGCUGGCGUAAUAGCAGCAAGCGGCCCGUCUUGAAACACGGACCAAGGAGUCUAACAUCUAUGCGAGUGUUUGGGUGUCAAGCCCGAGCGCGCAAUGAAAGUGAACGGAGGUGGGAACCCUCACGGGUGCACCAUCGACCGAUCCUGAUGUCUUCGGAUGGAUUUGAGUAAGAGCAUAGCUGUUGGGACCCGAAAGAUGGUGAACUAUGCCUGAAUAGGGUGAAGCCAGAGGAAACUCUGGUGGAGGCUCGCAGCGGUUCUGACGUGCAAAUCGAUCGUCAAAUUUGGGCAUAGGGGCGAAAGA